rnacentral:rRNA from 1 species
AGCGAACGCUGGCGGCAGGCCUAACACAUGCAAGUCGAACGAACUCUUCGGAGUUAGUGGCGGACGGGUGAGUAACACGUGGGAACGUGCCUUUAGGUUCGGAAUAACUCAGGGAAACUUGUGCUAAUACCGAAUGUGCCCUUCGGGGGAAAGAUUUAUCGCCUUUAGAGCGGCCCGCGUCUGAUUAGCUAGUUGGUGAGGUAAAGGCUCACCAAGGCGACGAUCAGUAGCUGGUCUGAGAGGAUGAUCAGCCACAUUGGGACUGAGACACGGCCCAAACUCCUACGGGAGGCAGCAGUGGGGAAUCUUGCGCAAUGGGCGAAAGCCUGACGCAGCCAUGCUGCGUGAAUGAUGAAGGUCUUAGGAUUGUAAAAUUCUCUAACCGGGGACGAUAAUGACGGUACCCGGAGAAGAAGCCCCGGCUAACUUCGUG